GCUAGUUGGUGAGGUAAAGGCUCACCAAGGCGACGAUCUGUAGCGGGUCUGAGAGGAUGAUCCGCCACACUGGAACUGAGACACGGUCCAGACUCCUACGGGAGGCAGCAGUGGGGAAUUUUGGACAAUGGGGGCAACCCUGAUCCAGCCAUGCCGCGUGAGUGAAGAAGGCCUUCGGGUUGUAAAGCUCUUUCGGCCGGGAAGAAAUCGUAUGGGUUAAUACCCUGUGCGGAUGACGGUACCGGCAUAAGAAGCACCGGCUAACUACGUGCCAGCAGCCGCGGUAAUACGUAGGGUGCGAGCGUUAAUCGGAAUUACUGGGCGUAAAGCGUGCGCAGGCGGUUUUGUAAGACAGGCGUGAAAUCCCCGGGCUCAACCUGGGAACUGCGCUUGUGACUGCAAGGCUAGAGUACGGCAGAGGGGGGUGGAAUUCCACGUGUAGCAGUGAAAUGCGUAGAGAUGUGGAGGAACACCAAUGGCGAAGGCAGCCCCCUGGGUCGAUACUGACGCUCAUGCACGAAAGCGUGGGUAGCAAACAGGAUUAGAUACCCUGGUAGUCCACGCCCUAAACGAUGUCAACUAGGUGUUGGGUGGGUAAAACCAUUUAGUACCGGAGCUAACGCGUGAAGUUGACCGCCUGGGGAGUACGGCCGCAAGGUUAAAACUCAAAGGAAUUGACGGGGACCCGCACAAGCGGUGGAUGAUGUGGAUUAAUUCGAUGCAACGCGAAAAACCUUACCUACCCUUGACAUGUCCAGGAGCCUGAAGAGAUUUGGGUGUGCCCGAAAGGGAACUGGAACACAGGUGCUGCAUGGCUGUCGUCAGCUCGUGUCGUGAGAUGUUGGGUUAAGUCCCGCAACGAGCGCAACCCUUGUCGUUAAUUGCCAUCAUUUAGUUGGGCACUUUAACGAGACUGCCGGUGACAAACCGGAGGAAGGUGGGGAUGACGUCAAGUCCUCAUGGCCCUUAUGGGUAGGGCUUCACACGUCAUACAAUGGUCGGUACAAAGGGCCGCCAACCCGCGAGGGGGAGCCAAUCCCAGAAAGCCGAUCGUAGUCCAGAUCGUAGGCUGCAACUCGCCUGCGUGAAGUCGGAAUCGCUAGUAAUCGUGGAUCAGCAUGUCACGGUGAAUACGUUCCCGGGUCUUGUACACACCGCCCGUCACACCAUGGGAGCGGGUUCCGCCAGAAGUAGGUAGCCUAACCGCAAGGGGGGCGCUUACCACGGCGGGGUUCGUGACUGGGGUGAAGUCGUAACAAGGUAGCCGUAGGGGAACCUGCGGCUG
rnacentral:rRNA from 1 species